rnacentral:rRNA from 1 species
UACGUAGGGUGCGAGCGUUAAUCGGAAUUACUGGGCGUAAAGCGUGCGCAGGCGGUCUGUUAAGACCGAUGUGAAAUCCCCGGGCUUAACCUGGGAACUGCAUUUGUGACUGGCGGGCUAGAGUAUGGCAGAGGGGGGGUAGAAUUCCACGUGUAGCAGUGAAAUGCGUAGAGAUGUGGAGGAAUACCGAUGGCGAAGGCAGCCCCCUGGGCCAAUACUGACGCUCAUGCACGAAAGCGUGGGGAGCAAACAGG